UGUAUGAAACAACAAGAGGUCUCUAAAUGACAAGGGGAGACUUGUUCCCUUUCUAUAUGGGAGGGGCAGUGGAGCUGUAUAAACAUUCCUUUGACCAGAAACUGUUGACUUAGUAUUGUACAUAUAGUUAAGGUUAUUGAUUUAAUAAGUUAAAUUAUAUUUAAGCAUCCCCAUCUACCCUAACAAUCAGAGGAGCACACAUUAGAAACGGCAAAAGUUGGUUGAAGCAGAACCAAUGGAUGGCGGAAGAAAUGGUCCCUGAGAACACAGAGCCAUCACGAAGGAGGGCUGGGGAAGAUUUCCACCCCAUCACACAGAACGGACUGACGAAAAAUCUUCACUGGGGACACAUACAAGAAGAGAGAAAGUAGAAGCUCCAUUCUUUUGUCAGCCAGCAGAUGGGUGUGCCUGAACACACUAUGGAUGAAGGUUCCAGGGGAGAGCCCCUGACUAUGUUGAUCUCCCUUCUUACAAGGCAAACAUGAAAACAACCUUGUCAAUGUGUGUGUGCUUGUGCACUGUGUGUGUGUGUGUGUGCGUGUGUGUGUGUACUUGAAACAGAGAGAGAGGGUAGGGGUGGAAAAAAAGAGAGAAAGUUUGGCAGAAGUGAGGGUGUGGUGGUAAUUAGAAACUGGAGAAUUGGCCAGACCAGGUUAAGUUCUAGAUGUUUCCAUAGUAAUAGCUCAUGAGAAGUUUGGUUCAAGCACAGCCCCUCUUGCCAGAGGGAGGAAGCCUCCAGUCCUGUGGGAUGCUGACCUUGGGUGCAGGCACUCCUGUAGAGAAAAGGAAUAGUCUCUUCUCCCACUUUGCUCCUUUUCCAAGUAAACAAGAAACCCCAGGGUAAUUUUCAGAUAAUUUGAGGCUCUCCUAUGUGCCAGGUAUUAUGCUAGGUAUCAAGGACCUCAGAGUAAAUAAACUGGAUGAAAUCUCCUACUGUCAUGUAACUUGCAGACUAGUGGGAGAUAACAGACAAGUACAGUUAAGGCUACCUUAUUAAGUAUUAUCUGAGCAUAAAAUCAAUCUUGUUCAAAAUGUGCAGGACAGGAUUUUACAUUAUUUUAAUGUGUAUUAGAAAAAAAUAUAAGCACUACCUUAAAUUUUUGCAGAUAUUGCUUAGGAUGAGGCCAAAGGAGCAGUAAAUUAAACAAAUUGGGGGGAGAGGGAUAGCUUAUUAAAACAUGUUAGGUAAAUAAUAAUAUAGGUAGACCUCAGAUAUAGCAUCAAAAAUUGUUCAUGUGACAUGUGAAUAAAGUUCAGGAAACACCACCUCCUGAGACUGAAUCCUCACAAAAUCCUGUGAAGUAGGCAUUAAGAUACAAUACUGUCAGAAACUGGCCUCAGAGAAAUCUAGAACACUAUCCAGUGCCUCAGGACCUGAAGGAUGGACUGCAGUUCCACAGCCCUUAUUCUCUCCAUGGCCCUGUGCUGACAUCGGGAAUGUCAAAGAUCAUCACAAAUUGUAAUUCACAUAGGAUUCUCCCAAGUGCUAACCCUAUGUAAUCAGCUCUCUAUCCCACAGAGCAACCUGGAGCCAUCGGGCUGUGGCUCAUGAAAGGAGUUGCAACUUGCUUUUUCCCUCCGGGAAUCAACAGCUCAGUGUUAGUAGCAUUUACUCUGCCUGUGCCUUUGCAGCCCAGAAACCUGAAGGCAGUUACCUCAAAAUUCAGAAAAAUACCUACUGAUAAUAGGUGGUCCCAUGCAGAGGUUUUCCACCCUAGGAAAUAUCAGAAUAGAGGAACUAAAUAUGGGCUGAGAGAAAACUGCUGAGCUGGCUUCUACUGUGGAAGUCGUUAACCAAGUUGGAUUAGGAAACUCUUCCAAAGCCACAUCUGCCCUAUUAAAGCUUUAAGGGCCACAUGCCAAAGUGAAAAUUAAAUAAAGCAACAAAGAGACUGUGCCCAAAUGAAUUUGGUUUUAUUUUUGCCACACAGACUCGGGCUCUGCACUAUACGGCAACCACAGAGAGACUUUGCCAAGUUGUGGCGGUUUCCCAGAAUGCAUUAAAAACUCAGGAAGUCUCCGCCAUCUCUGCUAAUGAUGUUUGCUACUGGACCAUAAAAUGGCUUCUAGUCUGACUUUCAUGGAAAAGCCCGUUUAGUGAAAAUUUCAUCAAGCAAUGUGAAAUUUGUACAUCAAUUUCAGUAUAGGCUAUUAGGCAUGGCUUAAAAUUCUGCAACAAUAAAGGUUUCAAAAUGCCUGUUA